rnacentral:rRNA from 1 species
CGAACGGGUGAGUAAUAUAUCGGAACGUACCCAAGAGUGGGGGAUAACGUAGCGAAAGUUACGCUAAUACCGCAUACGAUCUAAGGAUGAAAGUGGGGGACCGCAAGGCCUCACGCUCCUGGAGCGGCCGAUAUCUGAUUAGCUAGUUGGUGAGGUAAAGGCUCACCAAGGCGACGAUCAGUAGCUGGUCUGAGAGGACGACCAGCCACACUGGGACUGAGACACGGCCCAGACUCCUACGGAAGGCAGCAG